rnacentral:rRNA from 1 species
CCUACGGGCGGCUGCAGUGGGGAAUUUUGGACAAUGGGGGCAACCCUGAUCCAGCCAUGCCGCGUGCGGGAAGAAGGCCUUCGGGUUGUAAACCGCUUUUGUCGGGGAAGAAAUCCUCUGGGCUAAUACCUCGGGGGCAUGACGGUACCCGGAGAAUAAGCACCGGCUCACUACGUGCCAGCAGCCGCGGUAAUACGUAGGGUGCAAGCGGGAAUCGGAAUUACUGGGCGUAAAGCUUGAGCAGGCAGUCGAAUUCCCCGGGCUCAACCUGGGAACGGCAUUUGGGAUUGCAAGGCUGGAGUGCGGCAGAGGGGGAUGGAAUUCCGCGUGUAGCAGUGAAAUGCGUAGAUAUGCGGAGGAACACCGAUGGCGAAGGCAAUCCCCUGGGCCUGCACUGACGCUCAUGCACGAAAGCGUGGGGAGAAAACAGGAUUAGAUACCCGUGUAGUC